rnacentral:rRNA from 1 species
ACCAAGCCGACGAUGGGUAGCUGGUCUGAGAGGAUGGUCAGCCACACUGGGACUGAGACACUGCCCAGACUCCUACGGGAGGCUGCAGUCGAGAAUCUUGGGCAAUGCGCGAAAGCGUGACCCAGCAAUGCCGCGUGUGUGAUGAAGGCCUUCGGGUCGUAAAGCACUGUCUCCCGUGACGAAAUUUGACGGUAGCGGGGAAGGAAGCCACGGCUAACUACGUGCCAGCAGCCGCGGUAAUACGUAGGUGGCAAGCGUUGUUCGGAUUUAUUGGGCGUAAAGGGUCUGUAGGAGGUUCGUUAAAUACGAGGUGAAAUCCCGAAGCUCAACUUCGGAACUGCCUUGUAGACUGACGGACUAGAGUACCGGAGAGGUAAGCGGAAUACCAGGUGUAGCGGUGGAAUGCGUAGAUAUCUGGUAGAACACCAAUAGCGAAGGCAGCUUGCUGGACGGAAACUGACUCUGAAAGACGAAAGCAUGGGGAGCAAACAGGAUUAGAUACCCUGGUAGUCCGCACUGUAAACGUUGUCAACUUGAUGUGGGGGGAUUUAGUCCUCUCCGUAUCGAAGCUAACGCGAUAAGUUGACCGCCUGGGGACUACGGCCGCAAGGCUAAAACUCAAAGGAAUUGACGGGGGCCCGCACAAGCGGUGGAGCAUGUGGCUUAAUUCGAGGCAACGCGAAGAACCUUACCUGGUCUUGAAAUAUAUCGGACCGCCUGUGAAAGCAGGCUUCCCUUCGGGGCUGAUAUACAGGUGCUGCAUGGCUGUCGUCAGCUCGUGCCGUGAGGUGUUCGGUUAAGUCCGGCAACGAGCGCAACCCGUGUCACUAGUUGCCAUCAAGUAAUGUUGGGGACUCUAGUGAGACUGCCUGUGUUAAGCAGGAGGAAGGCGCGGAUGACGUCAAGUCAGUAUGGCCCUUACGACCAGGGCUGCACACGUGCUACAAUGGGGGGUACAAUGGGAUGCAAUGUCGCGAGGCGGAGCAAAUCCACAAAACCUCUCUUAGUUCAGAUUGCAGUCUGCAACUCGACUGCAUGAAGUUGGAAUCGCUAGUAAAGGCGUAUCAGCUACGACGCCUUGAAUACGUUCCCGGGCCUUGUACACACCGCCCGUCACAUCAUGGGAGUUGACUGCACCCGAAAUCGGUGAUCUAACCUGCAAAGGAAGAAGCCGCCUAAGGUGUGGUCGAUGACUGGGAUGAAGUCGUAACAAGGUAGCCGUAGGGGAACCUGCG